rnacentral:lncRNA from 1 species
UCUGAAGUUCUUUUGCCCAGAUGCUGCCUGAGGGCUUCUAUUCCCUGCCCUACCAGGCAGCUGCGGUCAGCACUAUGGGUGAAAUGACCCCUCCUUGGUUUCCAUCCAGGAACUAAUGCUUGAAGGAGAUGCAGACUCCCUAGGGGUGGCUUCAGGACCCCAGGCUUCUCCUAAUUAAUGCUGCCUUUCCUGCAGCCAGUUCUCCCUUCCAAAGGUUGUCUGCCAGCCUGACCCAGAGGGACACAGACAAUAGCUAAGUGGUCAGGCAGUAGGAGCAGGGUGGGCAUUAUAGGGUAAUUCUUUUUAAUGGUGCACUGGCAAGAGAGGCUUUAAAGUUCUUUCGAUUUAGCACAGUGUGUUCAAGUGGGGGGAAAGAGGGAAGUAGGGUGUUUUAUAAUGCUAUGGAUUACAAAAUGGGCUUUCAACUAGCUCAAAUGUGGUUCAAGCAACUGACAUUUUCUAUAAAAAGCAUGUUCUUUGUCCAAGGAGCAAGUUAGCACCUACAAAUACUUUUAUCCAUAGAGAAGAAAAAAAGUUACUCUGUCUGGGAUUAAGGGAGAGAGAGAAGUGACCUUGAUAGAACUGUCAUUUAUAUUUAGAACGUAUAGUUACCCCACAGGCAAACCAGAGGGUAGAGGUCAUCUAAGGAUGUGCCCAAAAUAGAAGCACCCCAUUGCCAAGUUCUUGUGGCUAGCACUCAGUCUCUGGGGAUAGGAGAGGACGAGGUAUUUAGUGUCAUUUUGGAAUUGACCUAGAGCUAAAUAUGCUAUUUUAUAUCUUGUUUGUCCUUUUGUUAUAGUUUGGAUACACAGGAAUAAUCACUGGAGCUAACAUUAUUAACCUCGUAUAAAGCCUGUGAACUUAGGAGCUGUCAGAAGGAGUCGUUUUCUGCCUUGGAGGCUGGGAAAGAAAGAGAAAGCAGAUGUGGAGACGGAGAGAGAGAGAGAAAGAAGGAAGGAGACACUCAGAAGAGAGCAAGACAGAUUGAUGAGAAACACUUUCUGAUUUUCCAUAACACUGCAAACUCAGCUUUGUCCCUCAAGCCCAUUUGAGGGACCGCUUGGCCCCUGCCAUUGAAUUGUGAGAUUGUUUUUUAGGCUUCGUUCAAUAAAUUGCCAUUUUGUGUAAGUUAGGUCA